UACGUAGGGUGCGAGCGUUGUCCGGAAUUACUGGGCGUAAAGAGCUCGUAGGCGGUCUGUCGCGUCGGCUGUGAAAUCCCGAGGCUCAACCUCGGGUCUGCAGUCGAUACGGGCAAACUGGAGUGUUGCAGGGGAGACUGGAAUUCCUGGUGUAGCGGUGAAAUGCGCAGAUAUCAGGAGGAACACCGGUGGCGAAGGCGGGUCUCUGGGCAACAACUGACGCUGAGGAGCGAAAGCGUGGGGAGCGAACAGG
rnacentral:rRNA from 1 species